GUCCAUGGGGCCACCUAAGAUUUGGAAGAGAGUAGCUGGUUAGUUGCAUUUCAAUUCUUCUAUAUAUAUUGCAAUAAUUAAAUUUUUUUUUUUCUCACCUGGCGCAUUGAAGGGCAUCGGUCCGCCGGGAUGUCCGGGAAAGUAAGGUCCGUCGUGCGGGUGGAAGGGUCCGCCGUAGCCAAACUCGAACUUGGCGUCCGCCGCGAAGUAGGGAAAGCCGGGUCCGUCGUCCAGUCCGCCGGGCGAGAGGUUCAUGGGGAAACCCCUCAUUUUCCGGGCGCCACCGAAAAAUGGAGGGCGACCCAUGCUGGUGAUUUGCUUCAUGCGUCGCUCCUUCGACCGUUUAUUUUGGAACCACACCUGGAAAUGGAUUGAAUGGAAGUAGACACAACUUUAGUUUAAGCCUUUCAAAAUGUACGAACUAUUAAAUAAAAUAUAGAAUGAGCACUUGUA